CAGGGACGAAAGCAUAGGAUCUGUGUCCCGCAGUUGCUUCAAGGCCAGUGAGAGAGAAUGGCGUAUAAUCCAAUCAGAUACAGGUGACCCAAUGGUAAUCGUGAUUAGAGAUGGGAUGCCAUCCCUUGAGAGACAUCCAGUAUAUAUCCACACCAGUAGACACAGAGCUGGAAGACGGGGUGCAGAUCAGAACUGCUCUGGAUUGGUUGCAGGAUCCAGUCUUUGGCUGCUAUGACCUGCCCUUGUGGGAUUCUGUCUUGCUCUGGGGAGCUUCUCCCAUACCACCAGGCUGUGUUGGUCCAUUCUUGCAAGGAUGCUAAGAGCUAUGGAAACCCUGAGGCAGCAACACUGUCCUGGGAGCAGUCAUCAUCUGCACAGAAUGGCAACCGGGACAGAACUGUUACACUUGCGUACGCCUGCUGGGGACAGCGGUUGGUAGGACCAGUGAGCGGGAGUGAUAAACAGUAAGUAAUAAUUAUGGGGGGAGGUAAAGAAUGUCUACCUUUUAAGGUCCUAUUUGUAACUAUUAAAUCCCAGAGUUGAGACAGAGAAAACAAUUUGUCAAAUUACACGUUCAAUAACAAAAAAUAUGGUGUCUGAACAACCUUGCGUAAAGAAAAUCUGUGUGUCAAGGGGUUUGGAUGGAUGAUGAAACAUCUUAAAUUUUACUCUUGAGGAUUUACCACGUCCCCAGGACCACAGUCCAAAUUAGAGCUUUGAAUUGUUCCGAAAUGUACGCUUGACUCCUUCAGUAAAUUGUACAUGAAGAUCCGGUUUAAGCAUUUGCUAUAUUUAUAGUGCCUUAAAUUGGUAUUGAAUCCCAGAGUGUUUGGACCUCAAAAUAAAGAAAAAAUGACUGUUGAUUUCAAAAAUAGCAUUCCUUUUAAUUAAAAUGUGUACAUGCAUUACCGAAAAUUUAGUAGGUGCAUAUAAGCCGAAAGAAGAAAUCACGCGUAAUUCUAGCAUUUAGAAAUCAAGACCAUUGUACCAUCUCAUUAUAUAUUCUUUCCUCCGCCAUUUAAAAUGGCCGCGUGGUAUAACAUUGCAUGGAUAUACCAUAGUUGAUUUAACCAGCU